rnacentral:rRNA from 1 species
UACGGGGGGGGGCAAGCGUUGUUCGGAAUUACUGGGCGUAAAGGGCUCGUAGGCGGCCAACUAAGUCAGGGGUGAAAUCCUGGAGCUCAACUCCAGAACUGCCUUUGAUACUGGAGAGCUUGAGUCCGGGAGAGGUGAGUGGAAUUCCGAGUGUAGAGGUGAAAUUCGUAGAUAUUCGGAAGAACACCAGUGGCGAAGGCGGCUCACUGGCCCGGUUCGUGACGCUGAGGUGCGAAAGCGUGGGGAGCAAACAGG